rnacentral:tRNA from 1 species
AGUUUGAUAGCUCAAUUGGUUAGAACACUCACCUUAUAAGUGAGAGACGUAGGUUCAAAUCCUAAUCAAACUA